GAUGGGUAGUUUGACUGGGGCGGUCUCCUCCCAAAGAGUAACGGAGGAGCACAAAGGUACCCUCGGUACGGUCGGACAUCGUACCAAGAGUGUAAAGGCAAAAGGGUGCUUGACUGCGAGAGUGACGGCUCGAGCAGGAACGAAAGUUGGUCUUAGUGAUCCGGUGGUUCUGAAUGGAAGGGCCAUCGCUCAACGGAUAAAAGGUACUCCGGGGAUAACAGGCUGAUACCGCCCAAGAGUUCAUAUCGACGGCGGUGUUUGGCACCUCGAUGUCGGCUCAUCACAUCCUGGGGCUGAAGCAGGUCCCAAGGGUAUGGCUGUUCGCCAUUUAAAGUGGUACGCGAGCUGGGUUUAGAACGUCGUGAGACAGUUCGGUCCCUAUCUGCCGUGGGCGUAGGAAAAUUGAGAGGAGCUGCUCCUAGUACGAGAGGACCGGAGUGGACGAACCUCUGGUGCACCGGUUGUCACGCCAGUGGCAUGGCCGGGUAGCUAAGUUCGGACGGGAUAACCGCUGAAAGCAUCUAAGCGGGAAGCCUCCCUCAAGAUGAGUUUUCCCAUGAAGCCCGUUGAAGACUACGACGUUGGUAGGCAAGGUGUGGAAGCGCAGUAAUGCGUGAAGCUAACUUGUACUAAUUGGCUGAUUGUCUUGACCAUAUAAUCUGAG
rnacentral:rRNA from 1 species